GACGAACGCUGGCGGCGUGCUUAACACAUGCAAGUCGAGCGGAAAGGCCCUUCGGGGUACUCGAGCGGCGAACGGGUGAGUAACACGUGAGGAACCUGCCCCAGACUUUGGGAUAACCUUCGGAAACGGAGGCUAAUACCGGAUAUGACAUUCCAUCGCAUGGUGGUUUGUGGAAAGUUUUUCGGUUUGGGAUGGUCUCGCGGCCUAUCAGCUUGUUGGUGGGGUAAUGGCCUACCAAGGCGACGACGGGUAGCCGGCCUGAGAGGGCGACCGGCCACACUGGGACUGAGACACGGCCCAGACUCCUACGGGAGGCAGCAGUGGGGAAUAUUGCACAAUGGGGCGGAAGCCUGAAUGCAGCGACGCCGCGUGAGGGAUGACGCC
rnacentral:rRNA from 1 species